UUUAUAAAUUAGCUUUGUCGUAAUAUUUAUCAAAUCUAACUUAUCAAAUGUUUUUGGUAAAGUGAAAGAUAUUUAAAAAUGUUGCUAGAGUAUCUAAAACAAUUGCUAUCGAGAAAACAUUAACAAAUACUAUCGAGACAACAUUGGACGGGAGAUUUUAAACAUGAUUCCUAUAAUUUUGAACCUCAAAAUGUUAUUUAGAAAUGGGGCAUGAUCCAUUUUCAAUUUAUGGUAUGAACAUUAAAAAAGUGAUAUUUAGGACAGUUAUAUAACUUGUAAUUUGAAAAAAACAACGUAUUAUAAUUUUA